rnacentral:rRNA from 1 species
UGGGGAAUAUUGCACAAUGGGCGCAAGCCUGAUGCAGCAACGCCGCGUGAGGGACGACGGCCUUCGGGUUGUAAACCUCUUUUGGCAGGGAAGAAGCGAAAGUGACGGUACCUGCAGAAAAAGCACCGGCUAACUACGUGCCAGCAGCCGCGGUGAUACGUAGGGUGCAAGCGUUGUCCGGAAUUAUUGGGCGUAAAGAGCUCGUAGGCGGUUUGUCGCGUCUGCUGUGAAAACCCGAGGCUCAACCUCGGGCCUGCAGUGGGUACGGGCAAACUAGAGUGCGGUGGGGGAGAUUGGAAUUCCUGGUGUAGCGGUGGAAUGCGCAGAUAUCAGGAGGAACACCGAUGGCGAAGGCAGAUCUCUGGGCCGUAACUGACGCUGAGGAGCGAAAGCAUGGGGAGCGAACA